UUGAAACUAACAACUUAUCUAUGAUAUGCAUGUUUACUGUCAUGAUAUCCAGCCCAACAGAUAUGACAUGGCUCUCUGCUCUUACCGUUGUUCUAACUAUGGGUGGCUUGUCUUCAGGAUUCCUAAUUGAUUAUGCAUGUCCAUCGGGAUGCUUAGAUACUACUUGUACAAGUUCGGGUUGUUCAAAUUGCCAGCCGGGAUUCUGUAAUUACUACUCAGCUACUAACAGAAUUACGAUAUGUACAAGAGAUUGUGGUAAAGGAAAAUUCUGUAGCUCUGUAAACUUUUGUUCAGAUUGUCAUGUGGAUCAAUGCGAUGUGUGUACAGAUUCACGCACGUGUAAACAGUGUGACUCCUUUUACUAUCUCAAAGACAACAACAGAUGUGUUACGUCCUUUGACUGUGAAAGGGGCGCAGCAAUUGCCACUACUCGGAAUGGAAUUCAAGUCUGCGAAACAUGCUAUGUUCAGAACUGCAAGAGAUGUGUUCAGAAUAACCCAGAUCGAUGCGAGGAGUGCGAAUAUUUGAGGUACCUGGAUAGUACCGGAUCUACUGACCAGUGUAGAACGAGAUCUUCGUGCGAGUUAUUUCAUGGCGAUCCUCAGUAUUCUGGAGGAAAAUAUGUCUGUUUAAAAAACUAAUUCAACCAUCGUCGAAUUACUUACCAAACGCAUCAACAUGUUACAGAUGUUUGCUUUGUUUUGAUACAUAUUGCAUUAAAUGUGGUGAUU